UACGUAGGGGGCAAGCGUUGUCCGGAUUUAUUGGGCGUAAAGAGCGUGUAGGCGGCUUGGCAAGUCCGCUGUGAAAACUCGAGGCUCAACCUCGAGACGUCGGUGGAAACUGCCUCGCUAGAGUCCGGAAGAGGAGAGUGGAAUUCCUGGUGUAGCGGUGAAAUGCGCAGAUAUCAGGAAGAACACCCGUGGCUAAGGCGGCUCUCUAGUACGGUACGGAGCUGAGACGCGAAAAGCGUGGGGGAGCGAACAGG
rnacentral:rRNA from 1 species